UUGAGAGAGUCAUAGUGGCUAUGGUGUUGGCUUGAAACCAAUAAUAGGAGGUUCGAUUCCUUCCUUUCUUA
ensembl:Mt_tRNA